rnacentral:rRNA from 1 species
CAGUAGCGUAUAUUAAAGUUGUUGCAGUUAAAAAGCUCGUAGUUGGAUUUCUGGCUUGAGACGCCUGGCCCGCCAAGGUUACUUGUGUGAGUGCCGGUGUGUCUCUGCCAUCCUUCUGGAAAACGUUCCUACCUUUCAUUAGGCCGGGUUCGUGAUUCAGAUCAUUUACUUUGAAAAAUUAGAGUGUUUAAAGCAAGCUUGCGCUAUGAAUACAUUAGCAUGGAAUAAUAAUUUAGGACUUUGGUUCUAUUUUGUUGGUUUCUAGGACUGAAGUAAUGAUUGAUAGGGAUAGUUGGGGGUGCUAGUAUUCAGCGGCCAGAGGUGAAAUUCUUGGAUUCGCUGAAGACUAACUUAUGCGAAAGCAUUCACCAAGGAUGUCUUCUUUAAUCAAGAACGAAAGUUGGGGGAUCGAAGACGAUCAGAUACCGU